AUGCUCGCCUCGGCAGCACAUAUACUAAAAUUGGAACGAUAGAGAAGAUUAGCAUGGCCCCUGUGCAAGGAUGACAUGCAAAUUCGUGAAGCAUUCCAUAUUUUA
ensembl:snRNA U6 U6 spliceosomal RNA